CAGAAGAGUCUGUGGCGUGGGGGGAGGAGACAUCUCAAGCAGCUUGAGCAUCUCCACCGUUGAUAAACCUUUGUCCCCAGCCAUGAAGUUGGACUCCAUUGAGGUGGAGGGCUCCAUCACGUUUGACUGUGCGUGAUGAGUCACUGUCACACUUGUCGUUGAGGUAGAGGGCUGCAUCACGUUUGACUGUGCGUGAUGAGUCACUGUCGUUGAGGUGGAGGGCUGCAUCACGUUUGACUGUGCGUGAUGAGUCACUGUCGUUGAGGUGGAGGGCUGCAUCACGUUUGACUGUGCGUGAUGAGUCUCUCUCACACCUGUCGUUGAGGUAGAGGGCUUUAUCAUGUUUGACUGUGCGUCAUGAGUCACUGUCACGUCUUUCAUCGAGGUAGAGGGCUGCAUCACGUUUGACUGUGCGUGAUGAGUCACGCUCACACCUGUCGUUGAGGUAGAGGGCUGCAUCAUUUUAGACCGUGCGUGAUGAGACACUGUCACGUCUGUCAUCGAGGUGGAGG